CGGAUAUAGCACAAUGGUAGUGCAGCAGCCUUCCAAGCUGAGGAUGCGGGUUCGAUUCCCGCUAUCCG
rnacentral:tRNA from 1 species